GGAGGGAUCAUUACAGAGCAUCAUGCCCUUCGGGGUAGAUCUCCCACCCCAUGUAUUACAUACUUUUGUUGCUUUGGCGGGCCGCCUCGGCCACCGGCUUCGGCUGGUGCGUGCCCGCCAGAGGACCCCAAACUCUGAAUGUUAGUGUCGUCUGAGUACUAUAUAAUAGUUAAAACUUUAACAACGGAUCUCUUGGUUCUGGCAUCGAUGAAGAACGCAGCGAAAUGCGAUAAGUAAUGUGAAUUGCAGAAUUCAGUGAAUCAUCGAAUCUUUGAACGCACAUUGCGCCCUCUGGUAUUCCGGAGGGCAUGCCUGUUCGAGCGUCAUUACAACCCUCAAGCUCUGCUUGGCCUUGGGCAUCACCGGCAACGGUGGGCCUCAAACCCAGUGGCGGUGCCAUCUGGCUCUAAGCGUAGUAAUUCUUCUCGCUAUAGGUGCCCGGUGGAUGCUUGCCAACAACCCCCAACUUCUUAAGGUUGACCUCGGAUCAGGUAGGGAUACCCGCUGAACUUAAGCAUAUCAAUAAGGAGGAA
rnacentral:rRNA from 1 species